GAGUGGUGGGAAGGCUGGGAAGGACGUGAAAUCCAUGCCGGUUACAAAUGGCACCUCAGUCGGUUGACGACAUAUGGGAUUUAAAAACUGCCUUGAAAAUAUAUUUUACGAAGACUUCACAUGCUUAUUUUAGUUCGUAUGGCGCUUAGAUAUAUCACAUUGUGUUGAUGAAACUUCAAUCUUUUGACUUGUAUUCUUAAAGAUGUAAUUGUAUUCUUGUUUCACCAAUUAAAUAUUGAGUGAAUAAGGCUGAUCCACCCGAUGACAAUGGAUCCAAGGCUGUGUUUCCCCCAAGUAUAAACAUAAAAAAGGGCAUAUUAAAAAAAUUUAAAGGCAGCAAUUAUCCAGGGUUGCAACGUAUGGGAACCAUGCUGCAUUAGUAGUUUUCAGUUUUACUUUAUACCUAGUCUACACUAGAGCAUUUUUUAUUUCAUUUGCAUAGUGUACUGCUAGGCUAGACCUAGGAUAUGCACUAAAUAUUUUUGUCAUCAAAAGUGUUGAUUGUGAUUUUGGUAAAAUUUUACUCAAAAGCACUAGUACUUAUUUUUUACACGAAAAUAUCCUUUCCCUAUUUUUUAAUGUAUGCGUUGAACAUUUGUGAUGUUCGCUUUGUUUGCAAAUGACCUAACCAACCACACCUAAUUAACCUAAGAUACAGGAUUCUUACCUUACUGUGCGGUACUAUUGGGUGGUUGGUUAGGUCAUUUGCAAUCAAGAUGAAUGACAGAAAGAUUAAAAGCAAACAUUGAAACAGGGAAAUAUUUUCAUACCCAAUAUUUUAUAAUUGUUUAGAAUAAACAUUUUACCUGUAGCAGAAGUUUUUUUUUUUUUAGGUUAAGCAAUGACUGUAGGGUAUAGCUUAGUACAUUAAUUGGAAAUAAGUUGGGAAAUCCAGCCUAACAGAACCUGAAAUAACUUUGUGCAUUGACUAACCUGGAUGAUAGGCUUUUAUCGUCAGUAGAUAGAUUAUUAUAGUUAUCAUGUAUAGGCUGUUUCAGUGUAAGUUAUGGUAGGGUUUCAUAAAUAUUCAGUAUAGAAGCUGAAGUCAGUUCAGUAGUCAGUUAAUGAGAUAUUAUUUACCUAAGACAACUUUUUAUUUCAGUGCCCGGUUGGGGAGGAUCUCACGUUCAAGGAUUUGGUGAAGAACCUGGAAUAAAGACCCAAAUAUUCCAUUUUAUUCGGUCAAUUAAAACUGUUAUGAAGUAAGGAAACCUAAUACAUAUGAAAGCAAGCAAACAUUUGUUAAAAGAGUGGAUUUUUCACAAACAAAACAUCCUCUAACUGAAUUGUCCAUAACGCAGAUCCGCUGAUACCUGUGAAUAUUUUUGUCAUCCUGUUCAAGCUUAUUUUUGGCUGAAAGUAUGUGGAAUUGUUAAGAAAAAAAUAUUGUACUACUGUUCUAUCAAGGAAAUGUUUGCUGCAGACCAAGCAUGCUGUCGAACUGUGAUGCUCAGGAAGUCGUAUUUUUGUGGAUGAAUUGUUUUUGUAUGGAUAUUGAAAUAUAUUAGGUUUUUUUA